GAUGAACGCUGGCGGCGUGCCUAAUACAUGCAAGUCGAGCGAACGGACGAGAAGCUUGCUUCUCUGAUGUUAGCGGCGGACGGGUGAGUAACACGUGGAUAACCUACCUAUAAGACUGGGAUAACUUCGGGAAACCGGAGCUAAUAUCGGAUAAUAUUAUGAACCGCAUGGUUCAAAAGUGAAAGACGGUCUUGCUGUCACUUAUAGAUGGAUCCGCGCUGCAUUAGCUAGUUGGUAAGGUAACGGCUUACCAAGGCAACGAUGCAUAGCCGACCUGAGAGGGUGAUCGGCCACACUGGAACUGAGACACGGUCCAGACUCCUACGGGAGGCAGCAGUAGGGAAUCUUCCGCAAUGGGCGAAAGCCUGACGGAGCAACGCCGCGUGAGUGAUGAAGGUCUUCGGAUCGUAAAACUCUGUUAUUAGGGAAGAACAUAUGUGUAAGUAACUGUGCACAUCUUGACGGUACCUAAUCAGAAAGCCACGGCUAACUACGU
rnacentral:rRNA from 1 species